UUAUGUUUACGACUUUAUACAUCUCAAAUUUAUAUUCGAGUUUAUGUCAAAUUAAUCUCCCUUCGUUGAUACGACAAUCAAACUAAGAUCAGUAUAAUAGAAAGCAUAAUCAGAUACAGAAUAGUGCGAAACGAUUGACAAGUAUAACGUGAAGUCAUGGCCAAGGGUACUAGCAGUGACUAUGAUGUGAUGGAAUUUUCGGAGACGGUGUAUAAGAUCAGUAAAAAUGCACAAGACGUUUCUGUCAUCAAAGAAAGUAUCCCAAAUGUAGCAAAAAUGAUCAUGCGGUUUACAUUCAACAGUUUCGAGGAACUCUAUUCAUACAAUGACAAAUUCUUACGUCAUUCCUUCACAUUUCCGUAUGAAAUUGAAGACUCGAAAAAGCGAAUUGGCUAUUUGUGUUGCAUACAUUAAAUUUUUCACUCUGGUAUCCAAAAGGUACUAGACAAUGGAAAGUUAAUGGUGAAAAGGGAUAUUUUGGAUUAUGCAAUGCUAUUAAACGGGCCUACGAAGAUAAAAUACCUCUAUGGGAUCCUAAUUAUUAUUGCACAAGAAUGACAAGAGGUAUAUUUGAGUAUAUUUUCCGAAGUGACGAUGGCAAAACUUGCAUUCCGUUUAUACAAAUAAGACUAAUGAUUUUACGUGAUGUCGGACGAGUUUUGUUGAAUAAAUAUCAUGGCACUUUUCUAGAAUGUAUCAAAUCAUCUGAUUACGAUGCAAACAAAUUGAUAAAAUUACUUUUUGAUGAAUUCGUGCCAUAUCGAGACGAAAUAAUAUACAAUGGCAAAAAUGUUCGUUUUCUUAUCAAAGCAAAAUUAUUGGUGAGCGACAUAUGGGGGUAUUUUGAUAAAAAUCUGAAUUUAAACUGAAUAUAGAAAAGCUGAUAUCUACGACAUUCAUUGAUUAUCGUAUUCCCCAAUUAUUGCUUAAUAUUAAACUUUUGCGCUAC